GCAAGGCAAGGCAGCAUGAGGCUUGGGGCAGAGCGACACCUCCUCCAUGGUUUUCUGGUAUUUAUUACCAUAUUUCUUGCAUGGACCAUGGCCGUCGUUGGCACGAGGCCUCCACCUCCGCAAUAUAUACCACGCUCACCACCUCCACCUCCAAAAGCGCCCGGAGGGCAAAUCCCCUAGUAGACAUUCCCUGUAUUUCAUGUAUUAGUCAUCAAUAGGCACAUGUCAUAUUGGUGAUAGAAUAUAGAUUUUUCUAUAGAUAAUUGCUCCUCAGUUGUUGUCCUGCUUUUAGUUUUUCUUUUUAAAAAUAAAAACGGACAAAUAAUGUGAAUGUACCACAUAGAAUAAAACUGCUAGAAGAUGGACGACAAAAAAUGUUGAAUAACAUUUUUUUUUAUAUUGGAUGUGUGUUUUCCAUAUAUGUGUGUUUGUAAUCAAAUCAUACCUUAUUUGUAUUGUUUUUACCUACCAUAUUUCCCUUAUAAACAUGACUUAUUUGUAUUAUUAUAAGAAGAUCAUUAAGAAAUAACAGCAUAAUGUAGGCCUUAAGAGCAAUUCUUAGUGGUGGACGUAGUCAUGUAGGUGUUUAAUACCAAAUCACUCCAAAAUUCUCUCAUUUCCUUCCUCUCUUUUUUUUUUUUUUUUUUUUCUCUAUUGCUUUGCUAUUUCUUAUUUUUGAAUCUUUACAAUCGGCAUCAACUAUUUAGAAUAUGCAUUGAGAUCCAUGAAUUUUAUCUACAUUAUGAAAACAAACCAAAAAAAUCUCAAAGACUUUCAAUGUGGGAAGAGAGAGAGAGAGUGAGAGUGAUCAAAUAAAAA
rnacentral:lncRNA from 1 species